AAAACAGCUGGUAGAGUUCAUUUAUUUCUUGAUGCAAGUAGACUCUUUGUAAGUGAUCAGUGGCAGCAGUGAGGAGGAAACAGCGUGACAUGUUGAGGACAGCUACAGUUCACUGACUCUGUGUGUUUGCAUAUGUGUCCUGCCUCUCUGCUCCCAGCCGUUAAGAGGCCAGUGUUGAUCAGUGGCUGUCCAGGCCUUUCAGAGACACUGGUACACCGGCAGCACAAUGAUGAUGUCACUGGUUCUACUGCUGGCCACCCUGGGGCUCCUUGUUCAGGGUUCAUCAGGACAAAUCAUCCUGACUCAGUCUCCUGGAUCUCAGACUGUUGUUCCAGGACUGACUGUCUCUAUCAGAUGUAAAACAAGUACAAGUGUUGGUAGCUACCUCCACUGGUACCUUCAGAAAUCUGGAGAAGCUCCUAAACUCCUGAUUUAUGAGGCUACAACCCGUCAGUCUGGAGUUUCAGAUCGUUUUACUGGAAGUAGAUCUGGGACUGACUUCACUCUGACCAUCAGAGGAGUCGAGGCUAAAGAUUCAGGAGUUUACUACUGUCAGCAGGGUAACAGCUUUCCGUUCACACAGUGA